GACGAACGCUGGCGGCGUGCUUAACACAUGCAAGUCGAACGGUGAAGCGCCUUCCUUUUUGGUGGGUGUGGAUGAGUGGCGAACGGGUGAGUAACACGUGAGUAACCUGCCCCCUUCUUCUGGAUAACCGCAUGAAAGUGUGGCUAAUACGGGAUAUUCUGGGUCUGUCGCAUGAUGGGUCUGGGAAAGAUAUUGUUUCGGUGGGGGAUGGGCUCGCGGCCUAUCAGCUUGUUGGUGGGGUGAUGGCCUACCAAGGCGGUGACGGGUAGCCGGCCUGAGAGGGUGGACGGUCACACUGGGACGGAGACACGGCGCAGACUCCGACGGGAGGCAGCAGUGGGGAAUAUUGCACAAUGGGCGCAAGCCUGAUGCAGCGACGCCGCGGGAGGGAUGGAGGCCUUCGGGUUGUGAACCUCUUUCGCCAGUGAAGCAGGCCUGCCUCGUUUGUGGGUGGGUUGACGGUAGCUGGAGAAGAAGCGCCGGCUAACUACGUG
rnacentral:rRNA from 1 species